ensembl:snRNA U6 U6 spliceosomal RNA
GUGCUCGCUUCGGCAGCACAUAUACUAAAAUUGGAACGAUACAGAGAAGAUUAGCAUGGUCCCUGUGCAAGGAACAAAAUUAUAAGUCCUUCCUUCCUUCCUU